rnacentral:piRNA from 1 species
AGUGCGAACUCAGACUGGAAAGGCGGACG